AUUGAACGCUGGCGGCAUGCCUUACACAUGCAAGUCGAACGGCAGCAUGGGUGCUUGCACCUGAUGGCGAGUGGCGAACGGGUGAGUAAUGCAUCGGAACGUACCCGGAAGUGGGGGAUAACGUAGCGAAAGUUACGCUAAUACCGCAUAUUCUGUGAGCAGGAAAGCGGGGGAUCGCAAGACCUCGCGCUUCCGGAGCGGCCGAUGUCGGAUUAGCUAGUUGGCGGGGUAAAGGCCCACCAAGGCAACGAUCCGUAGCGGGUCUGAGAGGAUGAUCCGCCACACUGGGACUGAGACACGGCCCAGACUCCUACGGGAGGCAGCAGUGGGGAAUUUUGGACAAUGGGGGCAACCCUGAUCCAGCCAUGCCGCGUGAGUGAAGAAGGCCUUCGGGUUGUAAAGCUCUUUCGGCUGGGAAGAAAUCGCAUCUCCUAAUACGGGGUGUGGAUGACGGUACCAGCAUAAGAAGCACCGGCUAACUACGUG
rnacentral:rRNA from 2 species